rnacentral:lncRNA from 1 species
AGAAAAAGAAAAAAAAAACAGUUGAACAAAUCUGGUUGUGUGAAAAAAAAAAAGAAAAGAGCAGGUCUGGAAAAAGAGCUAAAAUGCAAAAGAAUUGAAAAUGAGACCUGAACAAGUUGAAAACCAGAGAGAAAAAAAAAGGAAGAAAUUGAAUUGGCCAAAGUUAAAUGCACAUUGCACUAAGUUCUAGGUUCCUUACUUCUCUUCCAGUUUCUAUUUCCAUUUAGCCUUGCGUUUUGUGACCCUUCAUACCAUUCAUUACAAGCCA